rnacentral:misc_RNA from 1 species
GUGAAUCAUCGAAUCUUUGAACGCAAAUUGCACUCUCUUCGGAGAGUAUGCCUGUUUGAGGGUCAGCCUAAAAAAAAUCGACAUAGUCGCUGUUUCGCGGUUACAUUCGUCGGAAAUUGGGUCAUCUUAUACAUUUUGUUUUUAAGCGGCUUAAAAUUUUCUUUACUAUUCUACGAUCGUUUCUAAGAUUUAUUUCUUUUCACUUUUAUGUUAUCGAUUUUUAUUUGUUGUUGCCAUCAUAUCG